rnacentral:lncRNA from 1 species
CUCGACUUCAUUACAAAGUUCCUCCGUAUGUAUGGAAGGCAAGGCGCUAACUCCUGAAUACUGCAAUACAGUGAAACAAUGACAUUUGUGACUCGUUUCAGGAAACUAGGUGUAUUUAUAUCAAAAUGCGUUUUUUGCCAGAAAUGCCUUCAGGCAACGUGAACUUUCAUAUGCCUUAAGAACAAACUUGUUUGCCAUCUGUAAAUGCAAAUUAAAUUGUUAAAUGAAGAGCCUGGUUUAGCCAUGGAAAAAGACAGCAACCUUGCUGAGAUAAUGAGUGGGCUGGACAUGCCGAGAGAUGAGUUUGGAUUGGUCUGCCAUGUAGCAUGCUUCUAUCUAUAACAUGAGCUGGUCAGUAUGUGUAGGUAAUCCUUUCUAACACAGCUUUUUUGAAAGAUAUCACGUUGUAGAACUGCGUAAGUGUUGCUCUCCACUUUCUGGAGGACGGAGUUUUGAAAUCAAUGGAAUUAAGUAUGAUAGUUAAGGAGAUGGAGAAAAUUCUGCCGUUUGAUUUCAAAUAUGCAGAUGUUGUCGAAAAGAGAACACACAGAAUGCUGUUGUAUAAAACACCUGUCUCCAGAUUACAUCUUCAAUCUAAGGGCAACCAUGGCAUCCGUGACAGAGAAGGAGAAGCGUCUAUCCAUGUAUACGGAGAAUUUGGCCGUAUGUCCAACUGGCUUCACAACUAAAGACCACAUGUAACCAUGCCAGCCAGGGCCUCCACAUCUGGCUUCUUCACCUGCGGGAUCGUCUGAGACCAGCCACUUGGACGGCUGAUGAAACUGUCUCAGGGAAGCUCAUCUCCGUGCAUCAUCGACCUCACCAGGGUCUUGAGCUGACUGCAGUUCGGCGUCGUAACCAGUGGGCAAAUGCCCACCUGGCACACUGGAGAAGUAUGUUCUUCACGGAUGAAUACCGGUUUCAACUGUACUGGGCAGAUGGCAGACAGGGUUUAUGGUGACAUGUGGGCGAGAGGUUUACUGAUGUCAACGUUGUGAACAGAGUGCCCCAUGGUAGCGGAG